UCAGUCGGUAGAGCAUGAGACUCUUAAUCU
rnacentral:piRNA from 8 species